rnacentral:rRNA from 1 species
AGGGCGAACGCUGGCGGCAGGCCUAACACAUGCAAGUCGAGCGCCCGUAGCAAUACGGGAGCGGCAGACGGGAUAGUAACACGUGGGAACGCGCCCUUCGGUUCGGAAUAACUCAGGGAAACUUGAGCUAAUACCGGAUACGCCCUUACGGGGAAAGAUUUAUUGCCGAAGGAACGGCCCGCGUCCGAUUAGCUAGUUGGUGAGGUAAUGGCUCACCAAGGCGACGAUCGGUAGCUGGUCUGAGAGGAUGACCAGCAUCACUGGGACUGAGACACGGCCCAGACUCCUACGGGAGGCAGCAGUGGGGAAUAUUGGACAAUGGGCGCAAGCCUGAUCCAGCCAUGCCGCGUGGAUGAUGAAGGCCUUAGGGUUGUAAAGUCCUUUUAACGGGGAAGAUAAUGACGGUACCCGUAGAAUAAGCCCCGGCUAACUUCGUGCCAGCAGCCGC